UACGAAGGGGGCUAGCGUUGUUCGGAAUUACUGGGCGUAAAGCGCACGUAGGCGGACUACUAAGUCAGGGGUGAAAUCCCGGGGCUCAACCCCGGAACUGCCUUUGAUACUGAUAGUCUCGAGUCCGGAAGAGGUGAGUGGAAUUCCGAGUGUAGAGGUGAAAUGCGUAGAGAUCGGCAGGAACACCCAGGGGGAAACCAGUGGACUGGCACGGAGCUGACGCUCAGGUGCGAAAGCGUGGGGAGCGAACCGG
rnacentral:rRNA from 1 species